GCCCGUUUAGCUCAGUGGUAGAGCGCGCCACUUGUACGAUUCUAGUUGGCAAUGGUGAGGUCGGUUGUUCAAUCCAGCCAAUGGGCA